AUAAUCAUAUUAUAAACAUUGAUUCAACAAAUGAAGGGUAUCUUUAAUCGAUAUAAGAUAAGUACACCGGACAUAAUCACAUAAUUGUAUAUAUGAAAAAUAUUUAAGGUAUUGAAUAAUUUUUUUUGCUUUCACCACCACAAGUUGAAUCUGGUUUGUGGAGAUAUUGAAUAAAUUUUACUUUGCACAAUGUUUGAUGUUUAAAAUAUUGUUUUAGUAUUUUAUGUAAUUUGUGUGAAGGAUAAAAAGUUGUCCAUUAGUUUAGUGAGGAACAAUAAUUUUAAUAUUUGUCCACUCUCUUGUAUCCACUUUGUCAAAUUUUAAAAACAGUUUUAAAAUUAAAUAUAGUACAACUAAAAUUAUCAUGUUUAUUUCUCUAGGAGAUCAAACGCAAUGUUGCUUAUUUUAACUCAAUGUUCAAAAUCAAAUCAUCUAUAUGUGUGUUGAUUUUUUUUGGAUUCAUUUUUAUUUUAGAUUCUCUAAGAUUAAUUUUGAUAAAAUUAAUUCUUUAGAAACUUAUAAAAAAGCACAAAUCAAAAGGUUUUCAUGUUGAUAAAAGUAUAAAAAAUUAAAAUCACUCAAGUUGAAAACUAUGAAUAUUAAAAUAGUUUAUCAUUAAAAGAGUUGAAAAAAACCAUAGAUUUAAUAAAAAAUAGCAUUCUCUCAACUUCUAAUAAAAAUAAUUUUCUUUAAAAACUAAUCAAAAUAGCUAUUUCGUUAUCAACAUGAAAAUUAGUUCUUAAGAAAACAAUUUUUGAGAAUAAUCUCUACUUAAACAUCACCAAAUAAAAAAUCUAGAACAAUAUAGACUAGUCAUGCAUUGCAUUAAAAUCACCAAAACUAACCACUGACUUCAAAUACAUUAAUUAGCAUUUUGUUUGAAUAUUAUUAGUAGUAAUGCUACUAGUACUACUAUUUGUUUGAAUAUUAUUAUUAUUAAUUAAUGCUACUAGUACUAUAGUAUUGAAAGGACGAAAAGUGAAACAUACCAAGAGAAGCAAGAGAGGUAGUAAAGCAAGAGCAGGUCUCAUCUUGAGAAUCAGAUUAAAGCCUCGUUGUUGUGACUAUUUGUUUGUUUGUUUGUUUGGAUGGAUGGAUGAUGAUCUUAUAACUUGUUAAUCACUGCUAUUUAUAGCUGGCUAGAUACAUACACGUUUACCAAACAAUUAUUGAAGCCUCGUUGUGACUGUUUGUUCGUUUCUCUGUUAAUGAAAAUUACUGCUACUUUUUUUUUAUGUCUUUGGAUUUUUUUUUUACAUUAGUCCUUUGAUUUAUGAGGAAAGGUUCCGAUAAUCUAAAGUUUGGUCGCGAAGAUAACAAAAUGUGACAAAAAAUUAUUUCAUAAAAAAUUAAACCCGAAUUUUUCCGAACAAUCCGUCGUAGGAGGAACUCAUUAAUCUUUGGUUUUAAUUGUAGUGAUGUCUCUAGUUUUAAUUAAUUAUACAGCGUGUAAAAAAAUAGUAAGCAUCACAAUUUCAUUAUUGAGCUUGCACAAUAAUGAAUUAUUUGCACGUGUUUUAUUGUUGUGAAAUAACAAUUUUAACUCGAAAGUAUUGAACUAGGCAUAAAAUUUGAUUCAUAAUGUAAAAUUAUAUAUUCUUAUUCUA
rnacentral:lncRNA from 1 species